GUGCCAGCAGCCGCGGUAAAACGUAGGACGCAAGCGUUAUCCGGAGUUACUGGGCGUAAAGGGCGUGUAGGCGGCUUUUCAAGUUCGUCGUGAAAGACCCCGGCUAAACCGGGGGAGGUCGAGGGAGACUGAGAAGCUGGAGGGCGGCAGAGGGACAGGGAAUUCCGGGUGUAGUGGUGAAAUGCGUAGAGAUCCGGAGGAACACCAGUGGCGAAGGCGCUGUCCUGGGCCGCACCUGACGCUGAAACGCGAAAGCAUGGGGAGCGAACGGGAUUAGAAACCCCGGUAGUCCAUGCCGUAAACGAUGUCGACUAGGUGUUCGGCUCCCGGAAGGGAGUUGGGUGCCGCAGCCAACGCGAUAAGUCGACCGCCUGGGGAGUACGGUCGCAAGGCUAAA
rnacentral:rRNA from 1 species